rnacentral:SRP_RNA from 1 species
GCUAGGCAUGGUAGUGCAUGCCUGUAGUCCUAGCUACUCAGGAGGCUGAGGCAAGAGGAUCACUUGAGCCCAGGAGAUCAAGGCUGCAGUGGGCUGCUAUCAUACCACUGUACUCCAGCCUGGGCAACAGAGUGAGACUCUGUCUCAA